rnacentral:rRNA from 1 species
AGAGUUUGAUCCUGGCUCAGGACGAACGCUGGCGGCGUGCUUAACACAUGCAAGUCGAACGAGAGGAGAAGGAAGCUUGCUUCUUUCAAAUCUAGUGGCAAACGGGUGAGUAACACGUAAACAACCUGCCUUCAGGAUGGGGACAACAGACGGAAACGACUGCUAAUACCGAAUACGUUCCUUAGGUCGCAUGACUUAGGGAAGAAAGGGUGGCCUCUACUUGUAAGCUAUCGCCUGAAGAGGGGUUUGCGUCUGAUUAGGUAGUUGGUGAGGUAACGGCCCACCAAGCCGACGAUCAGUAGCCGGUCUGAGAGGAUGAACGGCCACACUGGAACUGAGACACGGUCCAGACUCCUACGGGAGGCAGCAGUGGGGAAUCUUCCGCAAUGGGCGAAAGCCUGACGGAGCAACGCCGCGUGAGUGAUGACGGCCUUCGGGUUGUAAAGCUCUGUGAUCGGGGACGAACGGUCAGCAGACGAAUACUCUGCUGAAGUGACGGUACCCGAAUAGCAAGCCACGGCUAACUACGUGCCAGCAGCCGUGGUAAUACGUAGGUGGCAAGCGUUGUCCGGAAUUAUUGGGCGUAAAGCGCGCGCAGGCGGCUUCUUAAGUCCAUCUUAAAAGUGCGGGGCUUAACCCCGUGAUGGGAUGGAAACUGAGAGGCUGGAGUAUCGGAGAGGAAAGUGGAAUUCCUAGUGUAGCGGUGAAAUGCGUAGAGAUUAGGAAGAACACCGGUGGCGAAGGCGACUUUCUGGACGACACUGACGCUGAGGCGCGAAAGCGUGGGAGCAAACAGGAUUAGAUACCCUGUAGUCCACGCGUAACGAUGAUACUAGGUGUAGAGUAUCGACCCUUCUGUGCGAGCUACACAUAGUAUCGCUGGAGUACGAUCGCAGAUAAACUCAAAGAUGACGGGGCCCGCACAGCGGUGGAGUAUGUGGUUAUCGACGCACGCGAGACUUACAGUCUGACAUUGAUCGCUAUCAGAUGAGUUCCCUCUCGGAGGACGAGAACGUGGUGCAGCUGUCGUUCAGCCUCUGUGCCUGGAGUGGUUAGUUCCGCACAGGGCACCACUAUCUUAUGUUACCAGCACGUUAUGGUGGGGACUCAUGAGAGACCGCCGCGGACAACGCGGAGGAAGGUGGGGAUGACGUCAAGUCAUCAUGCCCCUUAUGACCUGGGCUACACACGUACUACAAUGGGUGUCAACAAAGAGAAGCGAAGCCGCGAGGCAGAGCAAACCUCAAAAACACACCCCCAGUUCAGAUUGCAGGCUGCAACCCGCCUGCAUGAAGUAGGAAUCGCUAGUAAUCGCGGGUCAGCAUACCGCGGUGAAUACGUUCCCGGGCCUUGCACACACCGCCCGUC